rnacentral:lncRNA from 1 species
UCAGACAGCAAGAGUUGCUUUACAUUGCCUUUUGCUCUCUGGGUCUCUCAGUUCUGCAGCUUCUCCCAGUGUCUGGUGUUGCAAGAAGGCUCAAAUCCUCCUGACUUCCUUCAGAACAUCAUUAACAAAAGUAAUGCUCUCAUGUGGCUGCGAUUUUCAAGUCCAGUGGAUAAAAAUUAAAGACAAUGAGAGGCUUAUUUGUGCACUUGGAGGAGCUCAACGCUGUGCAAUUGUUUGGAAGUUUGGAUUGCCUAUUCAUGGCAAACAGCAGCUGUGCUCAAUUACACUCCAUCCAUCAGGAGGGACAGCCACAGCAGAGAGGCCCCUCCUGUCCCCUGCACCCCUCACUCCUGCUGCUCCACUACACAUCUGA